CAGCCGCCGCGGGAAUACAGAGGGUGCGAGCGUUAAUCGGAUUUACUGGGCGUAAAGCGUGCGUAGGCGGCUUUUUAAGUCGGAUGUGAAAUCCCUGAGCUUAACUUAGGAAUUGCAUUCGAUACUGGGAAGCUAGAGUAUGGGAGAGGAUGGUAGAAUUCCAGGUGUAGCGGUGAAAUGCGUAGAGAUCUGGAGGAAUACCGGUGGCGAAGGCGGCCCCCUGGACAAAGACUGACGCUCAGGUGCGAAAGCGUGGGGAGCAAACAGGAUUAGAUACCCCCGUAGUCCCUGUCUCUUAUAA
rnacentral:rRNA from 1 species